GUUAGAUUUUCAAAGCUUACCCACAGAAACUGAAUUAUCCAGUAUUUUAAAGAAGUGAACAUGCUCUGCUACUGAAAAUAAAUAAAUAAAUAAAUAAAUAAAUGUGUCACUGCUGAAAGAAGUGAGAAGGUGACCUCAUAUAUGCAAGCAGAGCUAAAGGACAAUGACCAGAAUCUUGGGGUAAGAUGGUGGACAAGCACCUCACCAGCUUCUGUGGGAGCACCAGUCACAUCAUGCAAUCUUCAGGAACAUCUCCAGUUUGCCAACAGACUGGUCUCAGCCCAGGACUGAGCAAGAAGGUGCUUCAUUUAAUGAGAAUGACUUCACUCAGAAAAAGACAGAAGAACAGAUUGCAACACCAGGAGGGAAAAGAGCUGUCAGUUAUAACACAGGAGGCUCUAUAUGGUCCCAGUUCUUUCAGGACCUACUCCAUCAUGGGGUCUUCCACGGGCCACAGUAGAUACCUGCUCUGCUGCAGAGCAUCUCCUCCUCUUCUGAGGUUGGUGUUUCCUCUGAUGUUCACCACUCUUUCUGUUCCCUCCUCUUUCUCUCCCUGUGGCAUUUUCUGACCUUUC
rnacentral:lncRNA from 1 species